rnacentral:rRNA from 1 species
GACGAACGCUGGCGGCGUGCUUAAUACAUGCAAGUCGAACGGAAAGGCCCUGCUUUUGUGGGGUGCUCGAGUGGCGAACGGGUGAGUAACACGUGAGUAACCUGCCCUUGACUUUGGGAUAACUUCAGGAAACUGGGGCUAAUACCGGAUAGGAGCUCCUGCUGCAUGGUGGGGGUUGGAAAGUUUCGGCGGUUGGGGAUGGACUCGCGGCUUAUCAGCUUGUUGGUGGGGUAGUGGCUUACCAAGGGUUUGACGGGUAGCCGGCCUGAGAGGGUGACCGGCCACAUUGGGACUGAGAUACGGACCAGACGCCUACGGUAGGCAGCAGUGGAGAGUAUGACGCAGUAAGCGGAAGCCAGAUACAGCGACGCCGCGUGCGGGAUAACCGCCUACGGGUUAUAAACCACUGUCGCAGUUGACGAAGCGUGAGUGACGGUAAUGAGUAAAGAAGCACCGGCUAACUACGUG